AUCCCACCGAGGCCACCAUAGACCAGCCAGCCCUCAGCGUACAUGCCAGCUAAUUACAGAUGCAGGAGCAAACCCCUGGCCCAUACAUCAAUUUUAAUGUCAUUGAAUACAGAGAACAAAUCUCAUUCACUUUGGUAUCGGCUGGAGUCAACAAACAUUUAAAAAUCAUUUACUGCGUCUGAUUUUGGGUAUGUUGAAUUGGUGACGUCUGAGUUGCUUCUGGUCUAUCCUGAUAGAAACAUACAGUAAACAGAGAAAAAAAAGGAUCUCAGGUGAGAUGAUGUAUGGGAAUGCUCAGCAUACAGAAUGAAUGGAUAAGAGGCCUGAAAACAUAAUCCUGUAAACAACCAUAUUGAAAGAGAAGACAGAAGACAUCAAACAGAUUUUGAGUCUUGCUCUAUGGCCCAGACUGGAGUGCAGUGGCGUGAUCUCAGCUCACUUCAACCUCCACCUCCCGGGUUCGAGAGAGAUUCUCCUGCCUCAUCCUCCCGAGUAGCUGGGAUCACCGGCGCCCACAACCACACCCGGCUAAUUUUUGUACUUUUAGUGGAGACAGGGUUUCACCAUGUUGGCUAGGCUGGUCACAAACUCCCGACCUCAGGUUAUCCAUCUGCCUUGGCCUCCCAAAGUGCUGGGAUUACAGGCGUGAGCCCCCGCACCUGGCCAAGAUCAGCUAGAUUUUGGAAGCAUUGCCUUCUACAGAAUCCACAGUAGUCCGAAGCUCUUCUACGGUUUUU
rnacentral:lncRNA from 10 species